rnacentral:rRNA from 1 species
CCUUCGGGACGCAAGUACAGUGGCGCACGGGUGAGUAACGCGUAGGCAACCUGCCCUCGUGCAGGGGAUAACCAUCGGAAACGGUGGCUAAUACCGCAUGCUGUCGCACAUUGCAUGAUGUGCGAUGAAAGUCUUCGGACGCUCAAGGAUGGGCCUGCGUCGGAUUAGCUUGUAGGUAGGGUAACGGCCUACCUAGGCUACGAUCCGUAGCUGGUCUGAGAGGACGAUCAGCCACACUGGCACUGAGACACGGGCCAGACUUCUACGGAAGGCAGCAGUAGGGAAAAUUGGGCAAUGGGCGAAAGCCUGACCCAGCCACGCCGCGUGGAGGAAGACACCCCUAUGGGGCGUAAACUCCUUUUAUAUGGGAAGAACACCUCCCUCAGGGAGGCUUGACGGUACCGUAUGAAUAAGCACCGGCUAACUCCGUGCCAGCAGCCGCGGUAAUACGGAGGGUGCAAGCGUUGUCCGGAUUCACUGGGUGUAAAGGGUGUGUAGGCGGGACGGUAUGUCAGAGGUGAAAGCCCACGGCUCAACCGUGGAACUGCCCUUUGAAACUGCCGUUCUUGAGUCUCGGA